CACGUAGGCACCAAGCGUUGUCCGGAUUUAUUGGGCGUAAAGAGCGUGUAGGCGGCCAUACAGGUCCGUUGUGAAAACUGGAGGCUUAACCUCCAGACGUCGAUGGAAACCGUAUGGCUAGAGUCCGGAAGAGGAGAGUGGAAUUCCUGGUGUAGCGGUGAAAUGCGCAGAUAUCAGGAAGAACACCCGUGGCGAAGGCGGCUCUCUGGGACGGUACUGACGCUGAGACGCGAAAGCGUGGGGAGCGAACAGG
rnacentral:rRNA from 1 species